rnacentral:rRNA from 1 species
UGGGGAAUAUUGGACAAUGGGGGGAACCCUGAUCCAGCCAUGCCGCGUGUGUGAAGAAGGCCUUAUGGUUGUAAAGCACUUUAAGCGAGGAGGAGGGUACUGGUAUUAAUACUACCAGGUACUGGACGUUACUCGCAGAAUAAGCACCGGCUAACUCGGUGCCAGCAGCCGCGGUAAUACAGAGGGUGCGAGCGUUAAUCGGAUUUACUGGGCGUAAAGCGUGCGUAGGCGGCUAAUUGAGUCGGAUGUGAAAUCCCCGAGCUUAACUUGGGAAUUGCAUUCGAUACUGGUUAGCUAGAGUGUGGGAGAGGAUGGUAGAAUUCCAGGUGUAGCGGUGAAAUGCGUAGAGAUCUGGAGGAAUACCGAUGGCGAAGGCAGCCAUCUGGCCUAACACUGACGCUGAGGUACGAAAGCAUGGGGAGCAAACAGG